rnacentral:tRNA from 1 species
GACCAUGCAGCGCAAUGGAUAUCGCGUCUUCCUACGGAGCAAAAGAUUGCAGGUUUGAAUCCUGCCGUGGUCG